rnacentral:rRNA from 1 species
AGUGAACGCUGGCGGUAGGCCUAACACAUGCAAGUCGAACGGCAGCACAGUAAGAGCUUGCUCUUACGGUUGGCGAGUGGCGGACGGGUGAGGAAUACAUCGGAAUCUACUUUUUCGUGGGGGAUAACGUAGGGAAACUUACGCUACUACCGCAUACGACCUACGGGUGAAAGCAGGGGAUCUUCGGACCUUGCGCGAUUGUAUGAGCCGAUGUCGGAUUAGCUAGUUGGCGGGGUAAAGGCCCACCAAGGCGACGAUCCGUAGCUGGUCUGAGAGGAUGAUCAGCCACACUGGAACUGAGACACGGUCCAGACUCCUACGGGAGGCAGCAGUGGGGAAUAUUGGACAAUGGGCGCAAGCCUGAUCCAGCCAUACCGCGUGGGUGAAGAAGGCCUUCGGGUUGUAAAGCCCUUUUGUUGGGAAAGAAAAGCAGCAGGUUAAAACCCCGCUGUUCUGACGGUACCCAAAGAGUAAGCACCGGCUAACUUCGUG